UUUAGGGAGACCUACCCGUUUUGUCUUGAGAGCUUAGUCAAGCACUAAGUUGUUAGAGAGAGAACUGGUCAUCCCAAGGUCGUUGAGGAAUUGAGUGUAGACUUCCAAGCUAUGUAAGAUUGGUUCGGGUUAUGGGCUAUUAGCUCAGGUGGUUAGAGCGCACCCCUGAUAAGGGUGAGGUCCCUGGUUCGAGUCCAGGAUGGCCCACCUUUACGAGAUAAGGGGGUUUAGCUCAGUUGGUAGAGCGCCUGCUUUGCAAGCAGGAUGUCAACGGUUCGAGUCCGUUAACCUCCACUGAAAGCCGAGAGCUUUCGAGACUAGUGCGAACCAAAUUUAACUUCAGCAACUCUUCUAAUCUUCUAGUCUUUUGAUUAUUGGUCUUUAGAGAGCCUGCUGGAUUUAAUCCAGUCAGAACCUUGAAAACUGCAUAGAAACUUGUCAGGUAGAAAGUAGUGGUCUUUCAGUGAAUUGCUCACAAGGUAAUUUAAGGGAAGGCACAACAGAUAUCACAGACACCAAUGUUGAUUGAUUUUAAGU
rnacentral:tRNA from 1 species